UAGAAAGUCUCUGAGUGGAGGCAGACCUAUCUGCAAUUGAAACAAAGAGUCUAAGGGGUCUUCAUGAAUGACCCGAUUCUGUCAAGUAAAGGCUAAUGCUCUCUAAUGCUGUGUAAACUGAUGCGGCUUAGGAAAGAAAACUGGAAGGUGAAUAGUUUGAUUAAUAUGAAACUUGGAAGAAACCUUAGGUAAAAUUUUUCGAGAGGCUUGUAAUGAUACCUGCGCCUUGGAGAAGAACAGAGUCAAUUGAGGGACUGCCAUUACAGGCCCCAUCUCUCCAACCCAUCGACUUCCAUGGGGUCAAGAUCAUAACCCAGAUGCUUCAGAGGAAGGAUUCCUUCUGGCUAGAACAGCCGCAUGUAUCAGCUUAUGAAAUGUAGAAGAUAGGAUUCUACCCAGGAGAGGGAUCAAAUUGAAGUUUGCUUCUCUACCUGUCUUUUCUUCCCUCCCUAAAGGGACAACCUCAGUUUUGACAAAGUCUCUUCAAAGCCUUAGCUGGCAAGAUGCAAACAGAAUAGGAAGAACUCAGAAGAACUCAGGAGACCACUAUAAAGUUCUAUAACAUCCCAUGAUAUUGUCAGAUAUGCACAAAGUUAAGACGGAGAGCUG